GCCUGGGUGGCUCAGUGGUUGAGCAUCUGCCUUUGGCGCAGGUCAUGAUCCCGAUGUUGUGGGAUCGAGUUCUACAUCAGGCU
rfam:Canis lupus familiaris chromosome X, whole genome shotgun sequence.